rnacentral:rRNA from 1 species
GACGAACGCUGGCGGCGUGCUUAACACAUGCAAGUCGAGCGAUGAAACACCUUCGGGUGCGGAUUAGCGGCGAACGGGUGAGGAACACGUGAGGAAUCUGCCUUCCACUCUGGGAUAACUCCGGGAAACCGGGGCUAAUACCGGAUACUUUCAACUGGCGGCAUCGCCGGUUGAAGAAAGUUUUUCGGUGGAAGAUGACCUCGCGGCCUAUCAGCUUGUUGGUGAGGUAAAGGCUCACCAAGGCGACGACGGGUAGCCGGCCUGAGAGGGCGACCGGCCACACUGGGACUGAGACACGGCCCAGACUCCUACGGGAGGCAGCAGUGGAGAAUAUUGGGCAAUGGAGGAAACUCUGACCCAGCGACGCCGCGCGCGGGAUGAAGGCCUUCGGGUUGUAAACCGCUUUCAGCAGGGAAGAAGCGAAAGUGACGGUACCUGCAGAAGAAGCACCGGCUAACUAUGUGCCAGCAGCCGCCGUAA